GUAGGUGAACCUGCGGAAGGAUCAUUAACACGUAUCCACGUUGAAUCACCGCGUCUUAGGGUAGGCUUAAGAAGGGCCAUACCCCGGAAUCUGUACUGGGAAUGGAACUUUGGGGAAGCUUCAUCUGGAUGUGCCAGAGUGAGGUCUUUGGAGUGAAGCUCUGCUCGAACUCGACUUAGCGGUUGAGUUAGGGCUAUCAGGUAGGGCUCCUUUGCUUGCCCCUUUCAGGGACAAAUCUUUGAUCGGGGAAUUGAAACCCCUUUUUUUCAAAUAAAGGCCGUCUCUUUGCAGACCGCUUUUAACCGAAUGCUGUACAACUCUUAGCAACGGAUAUCUUGGUUCUG
rnacentral:misc_RNA from 1 species